UACGUAGGGUGCGAGCGUUGUCCGGAAUUAUUGGGCGUAAAGAGCUCGUAGGCGGUGUGUCACGUCGGCCGUGAAAACCUGCAGCUUAACUGUGGGCGUGCGGUCGAUACGGGCAUCACUGGAGUUCGGCAGGGGAGACUGGAAUUCCUGGUGUAGCGGUGAAAUGCGCAGAUAUCAGGAGGAACACCGGUGGCGAAGGCGGGUCUCUGGGCCUUACCUGACGCUGAGGAGCGAAAGCAUGGGGAGCAAGCAGG
rnacentral:rRNA from 1 species